CCUUGUUCAGUCCUCUGGAGCCGACCGCCGCUGGCCGAGGAUGCCGAAGAGGAGCGGCUGUCUGACGGUUUCACGACGUGAUGAGGCAACGUUCACACCAACCGAAGAUCGUCUAGAUAUGGGAGUGGGACCUCUUGCAUCUGAGUGGACUCAACUAUUUCCAGGAAACGGGAGGGGGUUGAGCCCUGUGCCUUCAUGUACUGACUGUCACCGUUUAAGCUCGUCUAUAUGCUAUCUUCACCCUUUGUUAUCCUCACUCUUUAUUAUAAGUGUGACUAUUCUGCUAUCACUGUCAAGAUUUCAUUCACUGCAAUAGAAACUGUAGGCAGACUUUCCCUGUACCCAUUCAAUUCUUCAACUUGGAAAAUCUUAUUUUAUGUUUGGAGUGUGGACAUUGCUGUACAUCAGCAUGACCAGCAGCUCGAGCUCUAACUGAAAAUAUCAAAAUUUCAACCAAAAAAACAAUGCUAUAAUGUGUAGAAAGUUUUCAGUGUCCAAUGAUGUUUGUCUACAUGCAAAUUACAUUUUCACAAGAGAA